GAGGGUAUAGCUCAGUGAUAGGGUGCAUGCUCAGCAUGCAUGAGGUCCUGGGUUCAAUCCCCAGUAUUUCCA
rfam:Camelus ferus unplaced genomic scaffold scaffold1616, whole genome shotgun sequence.